rnacentral:rRNA from 1 species
AGGACAAACGCUGGCGGCGUGCAUAAAACAUGCAAGUCGGACGAGCCAAUCCCCGCAAGGGGAAAGGCUAGUGGCGAACGGCUGAGUAACACGUAGGUGAUCUGCCCUGAAGUGGGGGAUAACGACUCGAAAGAGUCGCUAAUACCGCAUGUGACCACCGAUCCGUUUCGGUGCUCAAAGUCGUAAGACGCUUUAGGAGGAGCCUGCGGCGGAUUAGCUAGUUGGUGAGGUAAUGGCCCACCAAGGCUUCGAUCCGUAGC